rnacentral:lncRNA from 1 species
UGUGAAACUUUCCCAGCAACCAAUUAUAUUGAAUUAAUUUUGCCUACGCUCUUGCCUGCAUGUACUACCUUUUGGUUACGCUACUCGUAUCUUUGCUUUCGAUGUCUGUUUCUUUGAUUUCACUGCCAGUCUUUUCGAUUGCGAGUUUUGGCAUUACUUUCCGUGAAGGGAGGGGUUUAGAGGAGGCUUAAACAAUGAGUUUCCAUUGGUCCGCUAGUUUUGGAGUGACGGUUCGUCUUAACCCAAUAAAUAACAUGAUAGACAUACUUUUUUUUCCUAUUGCCUACUUAAGUAGACGGUCUGACGUCACCUCGUUUUAGGGUUUUAGCUAACGUACUUCAAAAUUGUCAGUCGCGGGUCAAUAAUGUACGGAUAUUAGAAGCAUGUCUAUCUAAUACGUUUAAUGACAAACCAUCUAACUACUUCGGUAAACAUAUGAAUUACCUGUUGCACAACGUUCGGCGCAAGUGUUGGUAACUGGUUCGCCGUGGACCUGUGCCGAACGUUGUGUAACAGGUAAGUCUGUCUAUCAUGUUAUUUAUUGGGUUAAGACGAACCGUCACUCCAAAACUAGCGGACCAAUGGAAACUCAUUGUUUAUAAGCCUCCUCUAAACCCCGCCCUUCACGGAAAGUAAUGCCAAAACUCGCAAUCGAAAAGACUGGCAGUGAAAUCAAAGAAACAGACAUCGAAAGCAAAGAUACGAGUAGCGUAACCAAAAGAUUACACAGCUUCUCUCAGUUGCACCUGACUGAAGGCAUAAUUUCAGCUUCUGAGGGACAACUACGACACCGUCCUCACAGCCAAGAACCAGCUCUGAAGACAAAAUUAUGCUUUGACUUCAACUCAAGCUGAGCUACAGAAAAUGAACAGCUAUGUGGCUGUGGUUAAGGACCAACUGGAGAGAGACUACAUGUAACUUGUCGCAACCAAGGACCAGUCAGAGAGGCAACACAGAUAUCUUGCUGCUUCUCAUAACCAAUUAGAAAGAGAGUAUGAAGGCCUACUGACAUCCAACAACCAAUUGCAAAAAAACUACAUAGACCUCACAUGAACCAGAGAACAGUCACAGAGAGAACAACCUGAACAUCAGUGCAGCUUAAUGCCUCGAUCACACCGACAGCUUCAUUGCAUUUUGGUACACCAGAAGUACAUUCAUUUCCAAUGGAAUGCUGCAUUUGCCUUCCAGCAUUGCAGAGGCAGUUGCAGUGCGUUCUGUGUGGUGCAUACGUUGGAUUUAUCAAACUGUAUGCCUAGACUGCUCGACAGAAAUGGUAGCAGAAGGUAAAUGUUGAACUUUUGUUGCAAACAUAUAUAGAUGAUGCUGCGUACCAUUGUGCGCAAAGACGCUGUUGGUGUGAUCAAGACGUUAUGACCAGUUGAGCUGAGAGCAUGUGAGGGUUACAGAGACUAGAAACCAACUUCAGUUAG